rnacentral:lncRNA from 10 species
CAGCAAACUAACACAGGGAACAGGAAACCAAACACCAUAUGUUCUCACUCAUAUGUGGGAGUUGAACAAUGAGAACAGAUGUACACCGGAAGGAAACAUCACACGCUGGGGCCUGUUAGGGGGUUGGGGUCAAGGGGAGGGAGAGCAUUAGGACAAAUAUCUAAUGCACGUGGGGCUUAAAACCUAAAUGGCAAGGUUGACGGUGCAGAAAACCACCAUGGCACAUGUAAACCUCUGUAACAAACCUGCACGUUCUGCACAUGUAUCCCAAAACUUAAAGUAAAACAAAGAAACAAACAAAAAUGCACUAACGCUCAGGGUGAGUGGGGCAGGGGCCGGGGUGGGGUGCGGAUGGGUGGGUCCUGGCGUUUUAUUCAAUCAGUGGCGCUGGUGUGGGAACCACCCAAUCGGGCGCACAGUUUGAGAAGAGAGGAGGGCGUGGCUUCCGGCGUUUGGCGGGGCCUUUGUCUCUCGCUGGUGCUGGUGCAGGAGCUUGGGAUCCAUCUCCUCUUUCGCCUCCUCCACCUUGGGAAAUCCAGACAACUCCCUCACAGCCCCUGUUGCCCUGUGAAUCUGUAGGUCCUUGGGGACACACAGUUAAGGUGCUGUUACCAUGGGGUGGUCUUUGCUCCCAGAGCGCCCAAGAUGGUGGCGGGCCACUUCCAUAAUUUUGGCAGGCCACUUCCAAGAUGGUGGCAAGCCUCCUGUUCUCUGACCUGGGGCUCUUGGCCUCACGGAUUCCAAGGAAUGGAAUCUUGAGCCAUGCGGUGAGUGUUAUAGCUCUAUUAGAAGCUGUGGGUCACGGAAGAGAACCGUGGAACCCAGUGACUAGUGUUCAGCUUGAUUAGGAUGAACCCAGGCGCUUAGCUGUGCAGGAACAAUGGCAAGCCUUCAGCCCGAUCGGGAGUGGCAAUGGAUGCCUCGCUGGAUCAGGAGCAGAGCGGACACCUUGCUAGCCAGGAUGGUCUUGAUCUCCUGACCUUGUGAUCCGCCCGCCUCGGCCUCCCAAAGUGCUGGGAUUACAGGUGUGAGCCAUCGUGCCCAGCCAAGAACUGUCUUCACAACAACUGGUGCUGGGGAAAUUAGGUACCCACAUGUAAAAGAAUGAACCUGUGCCCUUCACUUAUACUGUAAGAAAAAAUUAACUAACUGGAUCAAAUACCUAAAUGUAAGAGCUAAAACUACAAAAUUCUUAGAAUAAAAUAUAGGGGAAACACGUCAUAACACUGGAUUUGGCAGUUUUUUUUUUUUAAACAGGACACCCACAACACAAGAAACAAAAGAAAAAUAGACGAAUAGGAAUCUAUCCAGAAUAUGCAAAGAACAAUUCAGCAACAAUAAAACAAACUACUUGUUUAAAAUAUUGGCAAAAACUUAAGCAGACAUUUCUCUAAAAAUUAUGUAAAGUAGCUAAUAAGCACAUGAAAAGACACUCAACAAAACUCAUCAUUAGUGAAAUGCAAAUCUAACCCCAAAUGACAUAUCACUUAAUACCCAUCAGCAUAGCUACUACCAAAAGAAAAAAAAAAACAGAAAAUCCGAAGUGUUGGUGAGGACGUGGAGCAAUUAGAAUCCUUGUACACUGUUGGUGGAAAUGUAAAAUGCUGCAGCUGCUAUAAAAUAACAACACAGUAACUAAAAAAUUUACACAUAAAAUCACCAUACGAUCCAGCAAUUUCACAUCUGGGUAUGCAGCAAAAGAUAUGAAAGCAAAGACACAAAAUAAUAUACAUACACCUAGGUUCAUAGCAGCAUUACUCACAUCACCAAAAAGGUGUUUGAAUUACUCAAGUGUUGUUUGAAUUACCAUCAAUGAUUAAUAGAUAAAAUGUGAUUUAUACAUAGAGUGGAAUGUUAUUCAGUUAUGUAAAAUAAGGAAAUUCUGACACAUGGUACGUCAUGCAUGAACCUUAAGGACAUUGUGCAAAGUGACAUGAGCCAGUCAUAAAAGGACAAAUACUGAAUCAUUCCACUUAUGAGAUACUUAGAGUAGUUAAAUUCUAGAAACCCAAAUAGAAGAGUAGUUCUUAGGAGCUAGAGGGGGAGUAACAAGGAGCUUAUUUAAUGGGUAUAGAGUUUUGUUUCUGCAAGUUGAAAGAAGGUCCCUAUGAGUGGUAAUGACAGUUGCAAAACAAUGUGAAAGUAGUUAAUUUUUCUGAGCUGCACACUUAAAAUAGCUAAAAUGGUUAAUUUUAUGUAUACUUUACCACAAUGUAAAAAAUAAUUUUAAAAUAAACUAUAGCUAUCUGCAAUAUCAUGAAUUAAUAUCAUAAAUAUAAUGUUGCAUAGAAGAAAGUAGAUGUAAAAGUAUACAUAUUACACAAUCUCACUGUUAUAAAAUCCAAAAAGUGAACACAACUGAGCUUCUGGCUUCCAGUAAUAAUGAAGUAAAGUAGUUUGUUGAACACUUCACAGAUAACUAUAACAAAGCUCUUUGGUCACAGGGCUGCAGCACUGCAAUCCCAGCAUGCACCAGGCUCAGGGAGAGUGCGCUAAUCACUGGAGGAAGGGACGAGGCUCAGGGAGAGUGCGCUAAUCACUGGAGGAAGGGACGAGGCUCCGCGCCUCUCGCUGGUCUUGCUGGGAGAUGCAGUCUCAUAAACACUCCCAGCCCUUUGGUCACAGGGCUGCAGCACUACAAUCCUAGCAUGCACCGGGCUCCGGGAAAGUGCGCGUCACCGGAGGAAGAGGCAGGGCUGUGCGCGCCUCCCUAGGAUUGUUGGAAGAUGCAUUCUCAUAAACACUCCCAACCCUUUGGUCAAAGGGCUACAGGACUACAAUCCCAGCAUGCACCAGGCUCCAGGGCGAGGCGCAGCCCUGGAAGAAGGGGCAGAGUGGUACCCGCCCCACCUAAUAUGCUGGGAGCUGUAGUCCGUUACCUACUCUCAGCCUGUUUGUCGGUAAGCUUCAGAGCUAUAAUCCCAGCAUGUACCGGGAUCCGGGGUCCAUAGCCCUGGAGGGAGGGGCAGAGCGGUGUGGACUUCCCGGUGUCCAAAGCACUGCUGAGUUCUGAUGCUAUGCCGACUCUUUGCAAGGAGAGUGAGUACAGAGGUGCACCUGGAGGGCAGGUCUGGGCUGAGCAUUGAGGAGGGUAUUACCCUACAAAGAUACCUUACCUUUUCCCAAAUCGGGCGGGUUGUCCUCACCCGCUUGGCCCUAUCCUUCUCAGGUUCCUCUUUCAGUUGCACCCAGGGUUCUUUCCAGAGGAGUACGUCUUCUGCAGCCCAGGGUGCUGCCUUCUUUCCUAAACUGCGUGAGAACUUUCCUGAUGUCCAAGACACUGUCAUUG